CAAUAGCGUAUAUUAAAGUUGUUGCAGUUAAAAAGCUCGUAGUUGGAUUUCUGGUUGAAGCGACCGGUCGGGCGUUGAUUCGUCUGCACUGGAGUCGGUUUUGGCCAUCCUCUAGGAAAGUGCGUCUGGUAUUAAGUUAUCGGGCGUAUGAUCCUGGUCUUUUACUGUGAAAAAAUUAGAGUGUUUAAAGCAGGCCUUCGCCUUGAAUACAUUAGCAUGGAAUAAUAAGAUAGGACUUUGGUCUAUUUUGUUGGUUUGCAGACCGAAGUAAUGAUUAAUAGGGAUAGUUGGGGGUAUUUAUAUUCCGAUGUCAGAGGUGAAAUUCUCAGAUUUUCGGAAGAUAAACUUAUGCGAAAGCAUUUACCAAGGAUGUUUUCAUUAA
rnacentral:rRNA from 1 species